rnacentral:rRNA from 1 species
CAUAUCAAUAAGCGGAGGAAAAGAAACUAACAAGGAUUCCCCUAGUAACUGCGAGUGAAGCGGGAAAAGCUCAAAUUUAAAAUCUGGCAGCCUUCGGUUGUCCGAGUUGUAAUCUAGAGAAGUGUUAUCCGCGCUGGACCGUGUACAAGUCUCCUGGAAUGGAGCGUCAUAGAGGGUGAGAAUCCCGUCUUUGACACGGACUGCCAGGGCUUUGUGAUGCGCUCUCAAAGAGUCGAGUUGUUUGGGAAUGCAGCUCAAAAUGGGUGGUAAAUUCCAUCUAAAGCUAAAUAUUGGCGAGAGACCGAUAGCGAACAAGUACCGUGAGGGAAAGAUGAAAAGAACUUUGGAAAGAGAGUUAAACAGUACGUGAAAUUGCUGAAAGGGAAACGCUUGAAGUCAGUCGCGUUGUUUGGGAAUCAACCUUGCUUUUGCUGGGCGUACUUUCCAGAUGACGGGCCAGCAUCAAUUUUGACCGUUGGAUAAAGGCUGGAGGAAUGUGGCAUCUUCGGAUGUGUUAUAGCCUCUGGUUGUAUACAACGGUUGGGAUUGAGGAACUCAGCACGCCGCAAGGCCGGGUACUUGUACCACGUUCGUGCUUAGGAUGCUGGCAUAAUGGCUUUAAUCGACCCGUCUUGAAACACGGACCAAGGAGUCUAACAUGCCUGCGAGUAUUUGGGUGGAAAACCCGAGUGCGUAAUGAAAGUGAAAGUUGAGAUCCCUGUCGCGGGGAGCAUCGACGCCCGGACCAGACCUUUUGUGACGGAUCUGCGGUAAAGCAUGUAUGUUGGGACCCGAAAGAUGGUGAACUAUGCCUGAAUAGGGUGAAGCCAGAGGAAACUCUGGUGGAGGCUCGUAGCGAUUCUGACGUGCAAAUCGAUCGUCAAAUUUGGGUAUAGGGGCGAA